UACGUAGGGUGCAAGCGUUGUCCGGAAUUAUUGGGCGUAAAGGGCUCGUAGGCGGUCUGUCGCGUCAGGAGUGAAAACUCGGGGGCUUAACCCCGAGCCUGCUUCUGAUACGGGGCAGACUAGAGGUAUGCAGGGGAGAACGGAAUUCCUGGUGUAGCGGUGAAAUGCGCAGAUAUCAGGAGGAACACCGGUGGCGAAGGCGGUUCUCUGGGCAUUACCUGACGCUGAGGAGCGAAAGUGUGGGGAGCGAACAGG
rnacentral:rRNA from 1 species